CCUACGGGAGGCUGCAGUGGGGAAUAUUGGACAAUGGGGGCAACCCUGAUCCAGCCAUGCCGCGUGUGUGAAGAAGGCCCUCGGGUUGUAAAGCACUUUCAGUGAGGAAGAACGCCUGGUGGUUAAUACCAUCAGGAAAGACAUCACUCACAGAAGAAGCACCGGCUAACUCCGUGCCAGCAGCCGCGGUAAUACGGAGGGUGCGAGCGUUAAUCGGAAUUACUGGGCGUAAAGCGCGCGUAGGUGGCUUGAUAAGCCGGUUGUGAAAGCCCCGGGCUCAACCUGGGAACGGCAUCCGGAACUGUCAAGCUAGAGUGCAGGAGAGGAAGGUAGAAUUCCCGGUGUAGCGGUGAAAUGCGUAGAGAUCGGGAGGAAUACCAGUGGCGAAGGCGGCCUUCUGGACUGACACUGACACUGAGGUGCGAAAGCGUGGGUAGCAAACAGGAUUAGAUACCCCGGUAGUA
rnacentral:rRNA from 1 species